CCUACGGGAGGCAGCAGUAGGGAAUAUUGCUCAAUGGGGGAAACCCUGAAGCAGCAACGCCGCGUGGAGGAUGAAGGUUUUCGGAUUGUAAACUCCUUUUGUUAGAGAAGAAAAUGACGGUAGCUAACGAAUAAGCACCGGCUAACUCCGUGCGAGCAGCCGCGGUAAUACGGAGGGUGCAAGCGUUACUCGGAAUAACUGGGCGUAAAGAGCGCGUAGGCGGGAUAGCAAGUCAGAUGUGAAAUCCUAGGGCUUAACCAUAGAACUGCAUUUGAAACUGUUAUUCUAGAGUAUGGGAGAGGUAGGUGGAAUUCUUGGUGUAGCGGUCAACUCCGUAGAGAUCACGAGGAAUACUCAUUGCGAAGGCGACCUGCUAGAACAUACCUGACGCUGAUGCGCGACAGCGUGGGGAGCAAACAGGAUUAGAUACCCUUGUAGUC
rnacentral:rRNA from 1 species